rnacentral:rRNA from 1 species
UACGUAGGGGGCAAGCGUUGUCCGGAAUCAUUGGGCGUAAAGAGCGUGUAGGCGGCCCGAUAAGUCCGCUGUGAAAGUCCAGGGCUCAACCCUGGGAUGCCGGUGGAUACUGUCGGGCUCGAGUCCGGAAGAGGAGUGUGGAAUUCCUGGUGUAGCGGUGAAAUGCGCAGAUAUCAGGAGGAACACCGAUGGCGAAGGCAGGUCUCUGGGCCACUACUGACGCUGGAGAAGCGAAAGCCAUGGGGAGCGAACAGG